rnacentral:tRNA from 1 species
GGAAAUAUGGUUGAGUGGUUGAAAACGCAUGCUUGGAGUGCAUGUUGCAAUUAAAAUUUGCACGGGGGUUCGAAUCCCCCUAUUUCCU